rnacentral:lncRNA from 1 species
CCUGCUCGGUUUAGGCCUGUCUGCGGAAUCCGCACCAACCAGCACCAUGCCCAUGAUACUGGGGUACUGGGACAUCCGCGGGUGAAUAGCCAUGGAGCUCCUAAAAAGAAUGGGACCUUUCACUUGACCUCCCUUCUCUCCCUUGCCUACUGCCCCUGAGCGAGUGCUUCAGCUACAGUCUGGGAGCCGAAGAUGCCUGUGUUUGAUGCCUCCAGCACCCUGUCUCUGCAUCUUGAAUCCAGCCACGUGACCAUCUCUUGCCCACCUUUGGCCAAUGUCCCUGAGACAUUUCAAGUGCAUCAUGCUGCAGACUGGUGUUGCUGUCUCCACAAUACCGCGCUUCCCCUGUGUCCCCAUCUCAGUCUUUGGUCCCACUAUCCACUUCCCACAUGCAGCCAUUGAGUCCUCUAUUUUUCUUCCUUAAAUCUCCAGAAUCUGC